AUUGAACGCUGGCGGCAGGCCUAACACAUGCCAGUCGAGCGAGCGGCGGACGGGUGAGUAAUGUAUUGGGAUCUGCACGAUAGAGGGGGAUAACUAAUGGAAACGGUGGCUAAUACCGCAUACUAUCGGAUGAACCCAUAUGGGAUUAGCUAAUAGGUGGGGUAAAGGCUCACCUAGGCGACGAUCUCUCGCUGGUCUGAGAGGAUGACAAGCCACACUGGAACUGAGACACGGGCCAGACUCCUACGGGAGGCAGCAGUGGGGAAUAUUGCACAAUGGGCGCAAGCCUGAUGCAGCCAUGACGCGUGUGUGAAGAAGGCCUUAGGGUUGUAAAGUACUUUCAGCGGGGAGGCGUUACCCGCAGAAGAAGCACCGGCUAACUCCGUGCCAGAAGCCGCGGUAAUAC
rnacentral:rRNA from 1 species